CUUCACCGAGCCGAGCCACAGCGGGUGUUCCGGCGAGCGGUCGCGACCGUAGGUGGCCAGCAGCGCGUGCGCCUC
rfam:Saccharomonospora xinjiangensis XJ-54 genomic scaffold Sacxiscaffold_2, whole genome shotgun sequence.